rnacentral:rRNA from 1 species
AAUGUUGGGUUAAGUCCCGCAACGAGCGCAACCCUUAUCCUUGUUUGCCAGCGAGUAAUGUCGGGAACUCCAGGGAGACUGCCGGUGAUAAACCGGAGGAAGGUGGGGACGACGUCAAGUCAUCAUGGCCCUUACGAGUAGGGCUACACACGUGCUACAAUGGCGCAUACAGAGGGCAGCAAGCUAGCGAUAGUGAGCGAAUCCCAAAAAGUGCGUCGUAGUCCGGAUUGGAGUCUGCAACUCGACUCCAUGAAGUCGGAAUCGCUAGUAAUCGUGAAUCAGAAUGUCACGGUGAAUACGUUCCCGGGCCUUGUACACACCGCCCGUCACACCAUGGGAGUGGGCUGCAAAAGAAGUGGGUAGUUUAACCUUUCGGGGA